UACAGAGGUCCCGAGCGUUGUUCGGAUUCAUUGGGCGUAAAGGGUGCGUAGGCGGCUUCCUAAGUUUGAUGUGAAAUCCUGGGGCUCAACCCUGGAACUGCAUUGAAUACUGGGAGGCUAGAGUACUGGAGAGGAAACUGGAAUUUACGGUGUAGCAGUGAAAUGCGUAGAGAUCGUAGGGAAGACCAGUGGCGAAGGCGAGUUUCUGGACAGUUACUGACGCUGAGGCACGAAGGCCAGGGGAGCAAACGGG
rnacentral:rRNA from 1 species